rnacentral:misc_RNA from 1 species
GUGAAUCAUCAAAUUUUUGAACGCAAAUUGCACUCUCUGGUAUUCCGGAGAGUAUGCCUGUUUGAGGGUCAGUUUAAAUAAAAAUCGGUGUGGUUGCUGCCCUUCGUGGUGACGUACCGGAUUUGGGUCGUCUUGCCUUCGGUUAAGUGACCUAAAAUUUUGCAUGAUUUUUUCGACCGUAUUAAAUUGACUUUAGGAACGUUUCCGAUAUCGAU